GACGAACGCUGGCGGCGUGCUUAACACAUGCAAGUCGAACGGAAAGGCCCUGCUUUUGUGGGGUGCUCGAGUGGCGAACGGGUGAGUAACACGUGAGUAACCUGCCCUUGACUUUGGGAUAACUUCAGGAAACUGGGGCUAAUACCGGAUAGGAGCUCCUGCUGCAUGGUGGGGGUUGGAAAGUUUCGGCGGUUGGGGAUGGACUCGCGGCUUAUCAGCUUGUUGGUGGGGUAGUGGCUUACCAAGGCUUUGACGGGUAGCCGGCCUGAGAGGGUGACCGGCCACAUUGGGACUGAGAUACGGCCCAGACUCCUACGGGAGGCAGCAGUGGGGAAUAUUGCACAAUGGGCGGAAGCCUGAUGCAGCAACGCCGCGUGCGGGAUGACGGCCUUCGGGUUGUAAACCGCUUUCGCCUGUGACGAAGCGUGAGUGACGGUAAUGGGUAAAGAAGCACCGGCUAACUACGUGCCAGCAGCCGCGGUGAUACGUAGGGUGCGAGCGUUGUCCGGAUUUAUUGGGCGUAAAGGGCUCGUAGGUGGUUGAUCGCGUCGGAAGUGUAAUCUUGGGGCUUAACCCUGAGCGUGCUUUCGAUACGGGUUGACUUGAGGAAGGUAGGGGAGAAUGGAAUUCCUGGUGGAGCGGUGGAAUGCGCAGAUAUCAGGAGGAACACCAGUGGCGAAGGCGGUUCUCUGGGCCUUUCCUGACGCUGAGGAGCGAAAGCGUGGGGAGCGAACAGGCUUAGAUACCCUGGUAGUCCACGCUGUAAACGGUGGGUACUAGGUGUGGGGUCCAUUCCACGGGUUCCGUGCCGUAGCUAACGCUUUAAGUACCCCGCCUGGGGGAGUACGGCCGCAAGGCUAAAACUCAAAGGAAUUGACGGGGCCCCGCACAAGCGGCGGAGCAUGCGGAUUAAUUCGAUGCAACGCGUAGAACCUUACCUGGGUUUGACAUGGAUCGGGAGUGCUCAGAGAUGGGUGUGCCUCUUUUGGGGUCGGUUCACAGGUGGUGCAUGGCUGUCGUCAGCUCGUGUCGUGAGAUGUUGGGUUAAGUCCCGCAACGAGCGCAACCCUUGUUCACUGUUGCCAGCACGUUAUGGUGGGGACUCAGUGGAGACCGCCGGGGUCAACUCGGAGGAAGGUGGGGAUGACGUCAAGUCAUCAUGCCCCUUAUGUCCAGGGCUUCACGCAUGCUACAAUGGCUGGUACAGAGAGUGGCGAGCCUGUGAGGGUGAGCGAAUCUCGGAAAGCCGGUCUCAGUUCGGAUUGGGGUCUGCAACUCGACCUCAUGAAGUCGGAGUCGCUAGUAAUCGCAGAUCAGCAACGCUGCGGUGAAUACGUUCCCGGGGCUUGUACACACCGCCCGUCAAGUCAUGAAAGUUGGUAACACCCGAAGCCGGUGGCCUAACCGUUGUGGGGGAGCCGUCGAAGGU
rnacentral:rRNA from 1 species